ACGAGAAGCAGCGCGUGCCGCGGCACUGCUCCUGCAGGCACUUGGGACUGUCGCAAAGGCACAGCUGCUGGCCCUCUGGCGGGGAAAAACACCGGGAAAUUUUAAUCAUGAUCUUUUCAGCGUGACGGACAUAGAAUAUUUUAGGUCGGCUAUUAAAUUCAAGGUGCCGGCCAGUACCUGAGCUCUCGGCGGAUGUGGACCGGGCCCACAGGGAGAGCAGCACCAGCAGCAGCAGCGGGAUGCCGACGCUCCUCGCGGCCAUGCUUCGUCCAGUGCGGCUGGAGCAGGGAGGAAAUAGAACCGGAGAGCGCGGCGCGGCGCGGCGCGGCUCGGCUCGCCUCCGAGGCGGCGGAUCAGCCCGCCGCCCCUCGCCGCCAGAAAGGCGCCACACAAGGCGGAGAGAUGCCCGAACGACGCCGCCGUUAGCCUAGCUAAGCUUUUCCUUCGGUGCGGAACAAAAGACCACAAAACUGGAGAGAGGUUUC